CUUACAGACAUCUUUGGCAUUCUGUCCACCUCCUCCUGUACAUGUGUGUAUAUAUAUGUGUUUUGUGUGGAAGAAGGAGGUGGGUAUACUGCCAAUAGAGAUCUGUUAG
rfam:Arabidopsis lyrata subsp. lyrata unplaced genomic scaffold ARALYscaffold_1, whole genome shotgun sequence.